UCAUAUAUAUAUAUAUAUUUUUUUUUUAAAUAAAAAAUGUCUAAAACAUACAUACAUCAAUAAAAAAAAAAACAUGCCAGAUUGAAGUUGGGUACAUAAUGCUGGUACAAUUGACUAUAAAAGCUUUCUUAUUUCAAAAUCAGUUGUGAAAUUGUUUAAUGUUUAUUUUCAUAUUAUUUGUAUCUGUUGUGAAAUUACAAGGUUUAUUUAAAUGGGUACAUUUCGGGUACAUUUUCAAUAGUCACAUUUAAAGUUGGUACAUUACGGGUACAAUUUAACUUUUUAAUUUACCCAGGGUACAUAUCUGGUAAACAUUUCAACAUUAAUAUUUUUUGUUGGGUACAUUUCGGGUACAUUUUAACUUUUCAAUUUUUAAUCUGGGUACAUU